ACUGCCUCAGCCUCAGCCUGGUUCCAAACCCUUGCUGGAGAGGUGAUGCAGUCAUUUGGAGGAAAGAGUCUGUGCACUUUUCUGUAGGGUUGCUGUGGUAUGCUGGGGUUCCUCUUCAAUGCCUAGUCACCUCAGAUUUUCCUGUACCUGCAGGUAUCACCAGGAAGCCUGCGAAGCAGCAAAGAUGGCAGUCUGCCCCGUCUUCUAGGAGCUCUAUCACAGGGAGGUACAGACAUAUUGCUGGCUCAAAUGCACUGUAGGAGGUGGCUGGAGACCCUGGUUGGGAGGUCUUGCCCAGUCAGGAGGAAUGAGACCAGGAACCUGCUUUAAAAAGUGCUUUGACCAUGUUUUCAUAGACAAGCCGUGCUGUGCCGGCAGACCACUUCAGCUCAUGGCCACCUCAGACACUCUGAAGCCUGAAGGCUGGAACAACUAAAUUGCCCAAACAGCAAAUAUGACAGCAUCUACAGAAAUCAUUUUAUUUGAGUUAUGUAGCAAGAACCCAACUUAAGCAAAUAUAACAUUUAAAACUAAGUCACUAUUUGGAUAUUAAUGUGCAUGCUAAACUGAUUUGUUCAUGGGCUAGUCAGCUAUUCAUAUGACCUUUACAAUUUUCUGAAUUCCAUUUUUUGGUUAAAAAAAGAAAACAAGCUGAUACUUAUCACUUUCCAAGAAACAUUUGAUUUAAAUUCUUAUGCCUUCAAUAUCUCAUGUAAAAUGCUAGUUUCAUUACUACUGUAAGUAAAUAUGUGUAAAACAGAAAGUAUCUGAGACAAGUCUCAAUCAGUUUUGAAGUUUAUUUGGCCAAGGUUAAGGAUAUGCCCAGAAGAAAUAAACAUGCAAUCACAGAAA